UUUAGUACAGAGAUCAGCUCAUUUGUAUUUUAAAGGACACACAAAAAAACAGCACAUUUUUGCUCACACCUACAAAGUGUCAAUUUUAACAUCUUAUAAUAAAUUAUCUGUAAGGAAUUUUGUGAUAAAACUUCACAUACAUAAUCAGAUUAAAUCGUGUUAAGUGUCCCCUUUAAAUCACCCACAAUACUUUCAAAAAACAUUGCGAGAAUCAAAUUGCCAAUAUAAGUCAAACAUUGGUAGGAAACGAGUGGGCACAGGGCUCACCCAAUUUCAGUAUUAAAUGUAUGUUUACGUAGGCUACAUAUAAAUUUGUUUUCUUUUAUUUUGUUGUAAAUUAAUCAUGUAAUGUAAACUGCACAUAUUGUGAGACCACAACAGUUGAUAGAUGAAUUACUGCACUGUAUUCAUGAAAAGAUUUUUAGUGGUGAUAUAUUAGGCUUGUUCGACUUCAUGCGGCGCUGAUAGAACUGACAGGUGGAUGACGUUAAAGUGCCGCGAGAGCGAGACGAAAUUACACUUCGUAUGAUUUCUCGAAUCGUUCUCGCGGUACUUUGACGUCCUCCGGCUGGCGGUUCGUGCAGCGCCGCAUCUCGUGACCACAGGCGCGGGAACCGUUAUGACGUUGCCAUGGAGACUUACAAGAAGCACUGGCCUAGAAAGGACGCAUGCUCCAUAGGACGCGUUAUUACGUACAUAAAAUCGAACACACACGAUGCGUUGUUUGUACGUCAUCAAGGGUUAGACAGUGCGAUCCAUUUAAACCCAUUCAAGUGUUCCGAGUCAACGAGAUUGAGAGAACGUUGCGAGGGAAGAACACACAAAUUUGGAGUUAUACGCAGCUUAAAGUGUGUUAGACAGGCAGAGGAAGAGCCAGAAAAAAGCAUGACACACCCAGAUGAAGAAGGUGACAGCUCCCUACAAAAAUAAUCUCUGAACUGACAAACUGCACAUACGCCAGGAGUGAGGAAUAUAGUUUCAAAAGAGAAGAGCUGACGGUCACUGUCCUGAAGGAAAGGGCUCGUCAACCUCUUCCUAGAUCCUGCUGGAAAGCCCAUCAGGAAAAGGGUGCAGUUAACAGAAAGGAAAUCCGGACACUCCCUAUUUUCCUUCCAGGCCUCUGUUUCCCACAGCUUUAGAGGACACCCUGUCCUGGUCCUCAUCUGCAGAAGAAUCCUGUGAGAUAUAUCAGUCGUUCAGAGACACGAAGAAAGAAAACAAAGCGAGCAGAAGAAGAAAACGCUGCAUGAGAUGAAGAGAAAAGCGAAGGCCUCUCAGCCUGUGACACACACAGUGAGCUGGUGCUCGGCCAACAUCACACUGAGAUCAGACAUUCAGCACACAACACAGUAACCUUCAGAAAGCAUGCAGAUGGCGUGUUAGGACAACGUGCACUUUUCUCUUCAAAGCUAAAGCUGCUGCUGUUUUUCUUCCUCUCAAUCUGAUUUACGUGACAUAUGACACUCCUCGUGGUUUGGUAGAGAGCAUGUCAAUUAUACUCUUUGCUUCAUCAGACUUCAGAGAGAAACUUAAACUUUAAAGAAAAAUAUCAAGAAAUAGUUUUGUACUAAAAUCAAGGAAAACAGUUUCUCAUUGCUUCUUUAAUUGUAUGUUUAUGAUUCCAAAACCAUUUUCCAACCUGAAUGUUUGUGUGAAGUCUCUGAUGUCCAUCAAAGCCUGCAGAGAGCUUCAAUUCUGCCCUCUAGUGUCUCUCUCAUCAUGUGCAGCAAGACUGAAUCACAUCCAGCAAAAUUAAACUUCAAUUCAAUUCA